GCGGCGGGGGUGGAGGAGAGUUGGGAGGCGGGGGUGGUGGGUAUAAUGGAGGUGAUGGGGGAGGUGGGGAUUGAUAAAUAGGUGGUGGCGGGGGUGAAUUGGGUGGUGGCGGAGGUGAAUGGGGUGGUGGAGGGGGGGAGGAUUGAGGUGGCGGCGGUGGUGGUGAUGGGUGAUGAGGUGGUGGUGGUGAGUGGGGUGGCGGUGGCGGAUAGAAAACGGGUGGCGGGGGAGAAUUGGGCGGGGGAGGUGGUGGGGAUCGGACACAGUAGACGGGCGCGGGAGGCGAUGGUGAAGGCGGUGGCGGCGAUGAAGGUGGUGGGGGUGACGGAGAUGGAGGAGGAGAAGGCGGGGGAGGUGAUGGAGACGGCGGAGGCGGGGAUGGCGGCGGUGGAGAUGGUGGAGGUGGUGAUGGAGGCGGAGGAAUAGGAGAAGGUGGAGGCGGCGAUGGCGGAGGGGGAGACGGAGGAGGCGGAGAUUGCAGCGGUGGGGGCGGUGAUGGUGGCGGUGGCGAUGGAGGAGGAGGCGAUGGAGGCGGCGGCGACUGCAGCGGCGGAGAAGGUGAUGGAGGAGGUGGCGGGGGAGGAGGUGGCGGUGGAGGCGGUGGUGACUGUAGCGGCGGGAAAGGAGAUGGAGGCGGCGAUUGUGGCUGUGGCGGUGAUGGUGAGGGAGGCGGCAUUACAGGAGGAGAAGGUGACGGCGGUGGGAGAACAGGCGGCAACAUUACCGGUGGAGGAAGUACCGGCACAAACGGAGCACACCCGAAUGAAUUACAGUUCACAGGAUGAGAAAGGAACGACUUACAUUGCUUCGCUGACCGCUGUACCGGCCGCCCCGGUAUACAAUUCCGCCGAUCACUGAACGCCGGAAGCCUCAAACA
rnacentral:misc_RNA from 1 species